rnacentral:tRNA from 1 species
GCUGAUAUGGCUCAGUGGUUGAGCGUCGACCUGUGAACCAGGAGGUCUCGGGUUUGAUUCCCGGUCUGGGCA